rnacentral:misc_RNA from 1 species
GUCUACUUCCCGACUUUCCCGGAGAAGAGACUUUUUCUGCCCGGUUCUACCCUAUUUCUCUUAUGUUCUGAGUAGGGCGCGGCGCUAAGGCUUUCGAAAAGACAGAUGAGCGCCGUCGAGCAACUCCUUCAUUGCUUCAUGGAAAAGGCCGAGUGAAAACGUUCUUUCAACUUCUUAUAACAGGGAUUACCAAGCUAGAAAGAAGAUAAGGUUUUG